UACGUAGGAAGCAAGCGUUGUCCGGAAUCACUGGGCGUAAAGCGCGUGUAGGCGGUACGGCAAGUCUGCUGUGAAAGCUCUCGGCUUAACCGGGCGAGGUCGGUGGAAACUGCCGCACUGGAGGACGGUAGAGGGGGGUGGAAUUCCCGGUGUAGUGGUGAAAUGCGUAGAGAUCGGGAGGAACACCGGUGGCGAAGGCGGGUCUCUGGGCAUCUCCUGACGCUGAGGCGCGAAAGCGUGGGGAGCAAACGGG
rnacentral:rRNA from 1 species